rnacentral:tRNA from 1 species
GUCUUCGUAGUAUAUCCAUUACCCUGGUCUUGUAAACCAGAAAAGGAGAAUAACCCCUCCCCAAGACU